AUCCAGCUGACCACGAGUCCCAAAUAGGACGAAAUUCGCAUCCUGGAU
rnacentral:hammerhead_ribozyme from 1 species